GUGAAAUAGAGGUGAUUGCCACAGAAAACUGCCGUGUGGAGACCAAUUAAUAACAACAAAGACCGAUUGGUGACUCUGGAGGAAUUCCUGAGAGCUACAGAGAAGAAAGAAUUCCUGGAGCUCGAUAGCUGGGAGACACUGGAUCAGCAACAGUUAUUCACUGAGGAAGAGCUUAAAGGGUAUGAAAGUAUGAUUGCUAUGCAAGAGAACAAGCUUAAGAAGAGGGCAGACGAGCUGCAGAAGCAGAAGGAGGAGCUGCAGCGCCAGCACGACCACCUUGAGGCCCAGAAGCAGGAGUGUCAGCAGGCUGUACUGGAACUGAAGAAACUACAACAAGGCAUUGCUCCAUCAAGGCCAGCAGGAGAGCUGAAGUUUGAGCCACACACAUAAAGUCCUGAUGUCUGCCAGAACUUGGAAGAAAACCGUUGACUCAACAUCUGUUUCAUCUUUCAACAUUCCUUCUUUUCUCUCCACUCAAUAAAUACUUUAAAGCACAAUUGGAAUAAAGGAAGAGACUUUUAAGUA